rnacentral:rRNA from 1 species
UACAGAGGUCCCAAGCGUUGUUCGGAUUCACUGGGCGUAAAGGGUGCGUAGGUGGUGAGGUAAGUCGGAUGUGAAAGCUCGGAGCUCAACUCCGAAAUGGCAUUGGAAACUACCUUGCUCGAGGGUUGGAGGGGGACUGGAAUGCUUGGUGUAGCAGUGAAAUGCGUAGAUAUCAAGCGGAACACCAGUGGCGAAGGCGAGUCCCUGGACAACUCCUGACACUGAGGCACGAAAGCUAGGGGAGCAAACAGGA